rnacentral:rRNA from 1 species
UGACCUCUGACCUCAAAUCAGGUAGGACUACCCGCUGAACUUAAGCAUAUCAAUAGCGGAGGA